UACGUAGGGUGCGAGCGUUGUCCGGAAUUACUGGGCGUAAAGAGCUCGUAGGUGGUUUGUCGCGUUGUUCGUGAAAACUCACAGCUUAACUGUGGGCGUGCGGGCGAUACGGGCAGACUGGAGUACUGCAGGGGAGACUGGAAUUCCUGGUGUAGCGGUGGAAUGCGCAGAUAUCAGGAGGAACACCGGUGGCGAAGGCGGUCAUCUGGCCCGGUACUGACGCUCAGGCACGAAAGUGUGGGUAGCAAACAGG
rnacentral:rRNA from 1 species